rnacentral:rRNA from 1 species
AGUGAACGCUGGCGGUAGGCCUAACACAUGCAAGUCGAACGGAAGCACAGUAAGAGCUUGCUCUUACGGGUGGCGAGUGGCGGACGGGUUAGGACUACAUCGGAAUCUUCUUUUUCGUGGGUGUUAACGUAGGGAAACUUACGCUAAUACCGCAUACGUCCUACGGUUGAAAGCAUUGUAUCUUCUGACCUUGCGCGAUUGAAUGGGUGGAUAUCGAAUUGCUUAGUUGGCGGGGUAAAGGCCAACUAAUCCGACGAUCUGUAGCUGGUCUGAGAGGAUGAUCAGCAACACUGGAACUGAGACACGGUCCAGACUCCUACGGGAGGCAGCAGUGGGGAAUAUUGGAGAAUGGGCGGAAGGCUGAUCCAGCCAUACCGCGUGAGUGAAGAAGGCCUUCGGGUUGUAAAGCCCUUUUGUUGGGAAAGAAAAGCAGCAGGUAAAUACCUGGCUGUUAUGACGGUACACAAAGAAUAAGCACCGGCUAACUUCGUG